rnacentral:rRNA from 1 species
GAUGAACGCUAGCGGCAGGCUUAAUACAUGCAAGUCGAGGGGCAGCGCAGUGUAGCAAUACAUGGGCGGCGACCGGCAAACGGGUGCGGAACACGUACGCAACCUCCCUUUAAGUGGGGGAUAGCCCAGGGAAACCUGGAUUAAUACCCCGUAAUAUUAUGAAGUGGCAUCACUUUAUACUUAUAGCUCCGGCGCUUAAAGAUGGGUGUGCGACUGAUGAGGUAGUUGGCGGGGUAACGGCCCACCAAGCCUGCGAUCAGUAACUGGUGUGAGAGCACGACCAGUCACACGGGCACUGAGACACGGGCCCGACUCCUACGGGAGGCAGCAGUAAGGAAUAUUGGUCAAUGGACGCAAGUCUGAACCAGCCAUGCCGCGUGGAGGAUGAAGGUCCUCUGGAUUGUAAACUUCUUUUAUUUGGGAAGAAACCCACUGUUUCUACGGUGGUUGACGGUACCAGAUGAAUAAGCACCGGCUAACUCCGUGCCAGCCGCCGCGGUAACAC